rnacentral:rRNA from 1 species
GACGAACGCUGGCGGCAUGCCUAAUACAUGCAAGUCGAGCGAACAGAUGAAGUGCUUGCACUUCUGACGUUAGCGGCGAACGGGUGAGUAACACGUAAGGAAUCUACCUAUAAGCGGGGGAUAACAUUCGGAAACGGGUGCUAAUACCGCAUAAUAUCUUCUUCCGCAUGGAAGAAGAUUGAAAGACGGCUCUGCUGUCACUUAUAGAUGACCUUGCGGUGCAUUAGUUAGUUGGUGGGGUAACGGCCUACCAAGACGAUGAUGCAUAGCCGACCGGAGAGGGUGAUCGGCCACAUUGGGGCUGAGACACGGCCCAAACUCCUACGUGAGGCAGCAGUAGGGAAGCUUCCGCAAUGGGCGAAAGCCUGACGGAGCAAUGCCGCGUGAGUGAGGAAGGCCUUCGGGUCGUAAAACUCUGUUAUAAGAGAAGAACAAAUUGUAGAGUAACUGCUACAGUCUUGACGGUAUCUUAUCAGAAAGCCACGGCUAACUACGUGCCAGCAGCCGCCGUAA